GACGAACGCCGGCGGCGUGCUUAACACAUGCAAGUCGAACGGAAAGGCCUGCUUUCCCUUGUGGAUUGCGGGUACUCGAGUGGCGAACGGGUGAGUAACACGUGAGUGAUCUGCCCCCAACUUGCGUAUAAGCCUGGGAAACUGGGUCUAAUUCCCGAUAGGACUGCAGGGUGGUGCCUGUGGUGGAAAACGAUUUUCUAGUGGUUGGGGAUGGGCUCGCGGCCUAUCAGCUUGUUGGUGGGGUAAUGGCCUACCAAGGCGGCGACGGGUAGCCGGCCUGGGAGAGUGGACGGCCAGAGUGGGACUGAGAUACGACCCAGACUGAGACGGGGGGCAGAAGUGGAGAAUAUGGCGCAGUGGGCGAAAGCCCGCUACAGCGGCGCCGCGUGCGGGAUGACGGCGUGCGGGUUGUAAACUCCUUUCGGCCGCGAGGAAGCCACCUGGUUGGAAAGGUGAUGACGGUAGUGGUAGAAGAAGCACCGGCUAACUACGUG
rnacentral:rRNA from 1 species